GAUGAACGCUGGCGGCGUGCCUAAUACAUGCAAGUCGAACGAACGGACGAGGAGCUUGCGGCUCUGAUGUUAGCGGCGGACGGGAGUGUCACACGUGGAUAACCUACCUAUAAGACUGGGAUAACUUCGGGACACCGGAGCUAAUACCGGAUAAUAUUUUGAACCGCGUGGUUCAAAAGUGAGAGUCGGUCUCGCUGUCACUUAUAGAUGCAUCCGCGCUGCAUUAGCUAGUUGGUAAGGUAACGGCUUACCAAGGCAACGAUGCAUAGCCGACGGGUGAGGGUGAUCGGCGGCAUUGGAGCUGAGACACGGACCAGACUCCUGCGGGAGGCAGCAGUAGGGAACCUUCCGCAGUGGGCGAAAGUCUGACGGAGCAAGGCGGCGUGAGAGAUGAAGGUCUUCGGAGCGUAAAACUGGGUUAUGAGGGAAGAACCUAUUUGGAAGGAACUGAGGAGAGCGUGACGGUAAUUGAUCAGGAAGCCACGGCUAACUACGUG
rnacentral:rRNA from 1 species